GACGAACGCUGGCGGCGUGCUUAACACAUGCAAGUCGAACGGAAAGGCCCUGCUUUUGUGGGGUGCUCGAGUGGCGAACGGGUGAGUAACACGUGAGUAACCUGCCCUUGACUUUGGGAUAACUUCAGGAAACUGGGGCUAAUACCGGAUAGGAGCUCCUGCUGCAUGGUGGGGGUUGGAAAGUUUCGGCGGUUAGGGAUGGACUCGCGGCUUAUCAGCUUGUUGGUGGGGUAGUGGCUUACCAAGGCUUUGACGGGUAGCCGGCCUGAGAGGGUGACCGGGCACAUUGGGACUGAGAUACGGACCAGACUCCUACGGGAGGCAGCAGGGGGGAAUAUUGCACAAUGGGCGGAAGCCUGAUGCAGAAACGCCGCGUGCGGGAUGACGGCCUUCGGGUUGUAAACCGCUUUCGCCUGUGACGAAGCGUGAGUGACGGUAAUGGGUAAAGAAGCACCGGCUAACUACGUG
rnacentral:rRNA from 1 species